rnacentral:misc_RNA from 1 species
UUUCCGUAGGUGAACCUGCGGAAGGAUCAUUAUUGAACUACUGAUUUAGCGUUCGGUGCUAUCCCAUUGGUGUAUGUACUCUGUUGCUUCAACUGGAUGAGUUUCCAUACCGUGUGUUUGAGGAACUUUGUCUUGUGUAAGAUGCAUUCACGUCCAGCCAGUGAGAAGACCAUUUACAAUACCCUGUUAAGAAGCAAUUGUCUAAAUACUUUACACCAAUAAAAUAAAACUUUCAACAACUGAUAUCUAGGCUGUUGCAUCGAGGAAGAACGAAGCAGA